UGCUGCUGCUGUUAAAAAGCUCGUAGUUGGAUCAAGGGUCGGACAGUGCAAGGUGGCCCCAUUUGCGUGCGUGGCUCCGGUUACAAUCGCGGUGGCGGAUCAACCCCUUGCGCCAAACUGUCCGCUCUAACAGGCCGAAACGGUUCCCUGUGAGUAGGACCCUUCACGGGGUUCGAAAGCGCCUACGCAUCCACCAUAUGCAUACGGGACGUCGGCCAAUGUUACUGUGAACAAACCAGCGUGUCCAAAGCAGGCCUCCGCCUGAAUGUUCGAGCAUGGAAUAACAAGGGAUCGAUUCUCUCGAUUCUUUUUGUUGGUUUUUAACCCGAGAAGGAGUAAUUCAGGUCACGGUGUCUGAGUUGGGUUCCCCUACUCUUCGGGGUAGGCCCCAAUUAGGCCGUGGCCUUACGGGAUCCAUAGGGACUGACGGGGCCGUACGUACUUCC
rnacentral:rRNA from 1 species